rnacentral:tRNA from 1 species
AAUUUUUUAGUCAAAAAUGAUUUUGAAUUGCAAAUUCAAAGGUAACUUAAGUUAAAAAUUU